GGGUGCGAUCAUACACGCAAUAAUUCACCGGAUCCCAUCAGAACUCCGAAGUCAAGCUUUCUUGGGCGAGAGUAGUACUAGGAUAGGUGACCUCCUGGGAAGGCCUUGUGUUGCACCAC